rnacentral:rRNA from 1 species
AGCGCAGACGGUUAUUUAAGCAAGAUGUGAAAGCCCCGGGCUCAACCUGGGAACUGCGUUUUGAACUGGGUAACUAGAGUGUGUCAGAGGGGGGUAGAAUUCCACGUGUAGCAGUGAAAUGCGUAGAGAUGUGGAGGAAUACCGAUGGCGAAGGCAGCCCCCUGGGAUAACACUGACGUUCAUGCUCGAAAGCGUGGGUAGCAAACA